GACGAACGCUGGCGGCGUGCUUAACACAUGCAAGUCGAACGAUGAAGCUGGAGCUUGCUCCGGUGGAUUAGUGGCGAACGGGUGAGUAACACGUGAGCAAUCUGCCCUUGACUCUGGGAUAACUGCGGGAAACUGUAGCUAAUACCGGAUACUUUCACUGGAAGGCAUCUUCUGGUGAAGAAAGAAUUUCGGUCAAGGAUGAGCUCGCGGCCUAUCAGCUUGUUGGUGAGGUAACGGCUCACCAAGGCGACGACGGGUAGCCGGCCUGAGAGGGUGACCGGCCACACUGGGACUGGGACGCGGCCCAGACUCCUACGGGAGGCAGCAGUGGGGAAUAUUGCACAAUGUGCGCAAGCCUGAUGCAGCAACGCCGCGUGAGGGAUGAAGGCCUUCGGGUUGUAAACCUCUUUUAGCAGGGAAGAAGCGAAAGUGACGGUACCUGCAGAAAAAGCACCGGCUAACUACGUGCCAGCCGCCGCCGUAA
rnacentral:rRNA from 1 species